GGAACGACUAUAAAGGUUUAGCUUUUAUUUUGACGGCUGAUGUCGUAGGUACAUUGGUAACCUGACUCCAGCCUCACCGUUCCCUGUCUUGGCUUCUCCUCUGGCCGGUUCUGUUUCCGCCGACUUCCUGGACGGCAGCUAGUCGCUGAACAUGGCAUGGGUCUUCAUAACUGACCACAUCUGAGUGGUAGGUCACGUUAACUGUUUUAAAUUAAUCUGUAGCUUUCCUGGAUUUAAUUGUAUGUUCUUUGUGUAGCAGAUCUCGGGCGUAACAGGGAGCGGCAACAUCAAGGCUUCUUGGGUCCAGUUCCGAACGAACGCUGCUGUUUUGUUUUGUUUGGUGUUUGUGUUUGUGUUGAUUUUAUUCCGUUUGAGUCGGCUGUGUUUAGCCGCCACGAAGUUGAUUAACUGAAGUGACGACAGGUGUGUGCUGUUUGCUUAACGAGUGACUACGAAUUCAGUUCGGUUGUGGAGGCUAUCCUUAGCUUGUUGCACUGCGUGUCAUAAUUUGUCACCAUAAGCCUGCUUGAAGUGAUUGUGAACACUGUUUGCUGUGACAACUGAGUGCUGUGCAUUGACGUGCUAUUUAUUCACGAGUGUCUCAUUCCUUGAAUAGCCACCAUACUGACUUUAGCGAACUCACUCUGGAGAGUACUACUGCUGUUUAGCGAAUCCACACUGGAGAAUAAUAUACUGACUUGAGCGAACCCACACUGGAGAGAACUCACUCCCUAUGUUCUUAAUUGUAAUAAAGAGUUUAUUUUUGGACACACGCCUCUCUGGUUUUCCGUGACCCCGAACCUGUGUUGCCUGGUAGCUAGUUUAAAUCCAUUAACCAUUCAUAUUCUGAGGGGAAGGGCCUCAGAUGGCGUAGUCGACAUGUGUCAAUUUAGCAAACCAUUCACUUUGCCACAUUUGGCGUAGUCGGCAGGAUCACAUAGCAAAGCCAGAGACGUGUGUUCCAGUGUUUUUUCUGUCUUUUGUAACUUUGUCUUUGCUUUGUCGUAUUACUAUUGGUUUAUCUUUAUUUUUCUCAGACAAAACAGCAGCUGUUUGUUGGACCAAGAAGGAGUCAGGUAGGCUUGGUUGGUGCAUGGCCAGCUUCGGUUGUGUGUGUGUGUGUGUGUGUGUCUGCAGCAUUGAUUGGCUGCUACUCACGUGUUGUUGUCUGUUUGCAGAUUGACCAGGAGUGGCUCCUACCUAUUGGGACCUUCGGGGCAUGGGCUGUGGUACCCAUUAGCGGGGUCUGGGAGGCUCCUGGCCUCUGUGUUGCGGGGUUCGGCCUACUGACCACCCGCGCAGUGCGUUUUGUGUUUAUGUAUAGAUGGACCGGGAGUGGAUCCUUCCUAUGAGGACUCUCGGGGCAUGGGCUGUGGUACCCAUUAGCGGGGUCUGGAAAGAUCCCCUCCUGUCCUGUGUCACGGUGUUUGGCCUACUGACCACCCGUGCAGUGUGUUCGGUGUCAUGUGUGCAGGAACCAGGAGUGACUCCUCCCUAUUGGGCCUUCGGGGCAUGGGCUGUGGUACCCAUUAGCGGGGUCUGGGAGGCUCUGGGCCUCUGUCGCGGUGUUCGGCCUACUGACCACCCGCGCAGUGUGUUAUGUGUUGUAUGUUAUGCGUACAGUUUGACAAGGAGUGGAUCCUACCGAUGGGGACCUUGGGGCAUGGGCUGUGGUACCCAUUAGCGGGGUCUGGAAAGAUCCCCUCCUGUCAGGUGUCGCGGUGUUUGGCCUACUGACCACCCGCGUGUUAGUAAUUUGUGUGUUAUAGUAGCUAGGGGUGGCUCUUUCCUAUGAGGACUUUCGGGACAUGGGACCCCAGUCGGGGUGAGGCCCAUUAGCGAGGUCUGGGUGUCGAGUCCCCCUGGCUCCUGCCUGUCGUGGCGUUUUGGCCUACAGACCAGCCGUGGGUUAUGUUUUUAAGUGAGUCAAGCAGCCUGUAGUGCCUCCUCACCUGCAGACCUUCGGGUCAUGGGUCACCGUCAAGGUGAGGGCCAUUAGCGGGGUCUAGUGUGGAGGCCCUCCUGGAUCCUUGCUCCUCAUUUUUGUGGGGCUUAGACCAUCAAUCGUCGGGACGACGAUUCAGGAAGGCGGGGAAGAAUGUAACAGGACUAGGUCCACGCCCCUAGUUAGCUCGGCAGAGUGAGCCAAUCAGUACGGGGGAACGACUAUAAAGGUUUAGCUUUUAUUUUGACGGCUGAUGUCGUAGGUACAUUGGUAACCUGACUCCAGCCUCACCGUUCCCUGUCUUGGCUUCUCCUCUGGCCGGUUCUGUUUCCGCCGACUUCCUGGACGGCAGCUAGUCGCUGAACAUGGCAUGGGUCUUCAUAACUGACCACAUCUGAGUGGUAGGUCACGUUAACUGUUUUAAAUUAAUCUGUAGCUUUCCUGGAUUUAAUUGUAUGUUCUUUGUGUAGCAGAUCUCGGGCGUAACAGGGAGCGGCAACAUCAAGGCUUCUUGGGUCCAGUUCCGAACGAACGCUGCUGUUUUGUUUUGUUUGGUGUUUGUGUUUGUGUUGGUUUUAUUCCGUUUGAGUCGGCUGUGUUUAGCCGCCACGAAGUUGAUUAACUGAAGUGACGACAGGUGUGUGCUGUUUGCUUAACGAGUGACUACGAAUUCAGUUCGGUUGUGGAGGCUAUCCUUAGCUUGUUGCACUGCGUGUCAUAAUUUGUCACCAUAAGCCUGCUUGAAGUGAUUGUGAACACUGUUUGCUGUGACAACUGAGUGCUGUGCAUUGACGUGCUAUUUAUUCACGAGUAUCUCAUUCCUUGAAUAGCCACCAUACUGACUUUAGCGAACUCACUCUGGAGAGUACUACUGCUGUUUAGCGAAUCCACACUGGAGAAUGAUAUACUGACUUGAGCGAACCCAGACUGGAGAGA